rnacentral:rRNA from 1 species
CACGUAGGGCGCGAGCGUUGUCCGGAAUUAUUGGGCGUAAAGAGCUCGUAGGCGGCCUGUUGCGUCCGCUGUGAAAUCCCGGGCUUAACCCCGGGCCUGCAGUGGAUACGGGCAGGCUGGAGGCAGCAGGGGAGAACGGAAUUCCCGGUGUAGCGGUGAAAUGCGCAGAUAUCGGGAGGAACACCGGUGGCGAAGGCGGUCUCUGGCCUGUACUGACGCUGAGGAGCGAAAGCGUGGGGAGCGAACAGGAUAGAUACC